rnacentral:rRNA from 1 species
GGUCCUAAGGUAGCGAAAUUCCUUGUCGGGUAAGUUCCGACCCGCACGAAAGGCGUAACGAUUUGGGCACUGUCUCAACGAGAGACUCGGUGAAAUCAUAGUACCUGUGAAGAUGCAGGUUACCUGCGACAGGACGGAAAGACCCCGUGGAGCUUUACUGUAGCCUGAUAUUGAAAUUCGGCACAGCUUGUACAGGAUAGGUAGGAGCCUUUGAAACGUGAGCGCUAGCUUACGUGGAGGCGCUGGUGGGAUACUACCCUAGCUGUGUUGGCUUUCUAACCCGCACCACUUAUCGUGGUGGGAGACAGUGUCAGGCGGGCAGUUUGACUGGGGCGGUCGCCUCCUAAAAGGUAACGGAGGCG